ACUUAAAUAACUUAUAUAUGUAGAGUAUUAUAUUGAAGAUAUAAAAGAAAUAAAUUUAUUUUUAAGUA
rnacentral:tRNA from 1 species